GCCGGGGUGGCGGAAUGGUAGACGCGCAAGACUUAAAAUCUUGUGACCUUAGGGUUGUGUGGGUUCGAGUCCCACCCUCGGCACUA
rnacentral:tRNA from 2 species